UGGGGAAUAUUGCACAAUGGGCGCAAGCCUGAUGCAGCCAUGCCGCGUGUAUGAAGAAGGCCUUCGGGUUGUAAAGUACUUUCAGCGGGGAGGAAGGGAGUAAAGUUAAUACCUUUGCGCAUUGACGUUACCCGCAGAAGAAGCACCGGCUAACUCCGUGCCAGCAGCCGCGGUAAUACGGAGGGUGCAAGCGUUAAUCGGAAUUACUGGGCGUAAAGCGCACGCAGGCGGUUUGUUAAGUCAGAUGUGAAAUCCCCGGGCUCAACCUGGCAACUGCAUCUGAUACUGGCAAGCUUGAGUCUCGUAGAGCGGGGUAGAAUUCCAGGUGUAGCGGUGAAAUGCGUAGAGAUCUGGAGGAAUACCGGUGGCGAAGGCGGCCCCCUGGACGAAGACUGACGCUCAGGUGCGAAAGCGUGGGGAGCAAACAGG
rnacentral:rRNA from 1 species